ensembl:lncRNA
AUUUUCUUAUCAGAGUGAAAGUGUUCAGAGAAGAUUUCUUCUGAGUCUCUUCAUUAAAGCAGCAGAGACUGAGACACAGACAGGAGAGCAGAUGCUGAAACUGUUAUCAUCAGUCUGUAACUACAGAUCUUUUCCUUAUGAAUGGACUGACAGCGUUAAUCAGAGUGAUUUACUGCUGGAUCUUUACUCACAUGUGAAGAACUAUGAGACUCAAACAGGCAGGAGUUUUCUUCCAGCAUUACAGUCAGUUUUUCAGUCACCUGAUGUCUGGAUCAUAGAUCUCUCACAGAGAAAGAGCUCUGUCCUCCUGGAAGUGCUCAAACUCCAAACAGAGAAGAAACCAGUAGAGCUGAGAGGAUGUUCAGAGCAAGAGAGUGAAAUGAUGAGUUUCCUGCAGUGUCUGCAACACAUCUCACAGCUGAGGUAAGAGAAUCUUUCUCCAGUUGGUAUUUGUUUUGUCAUUUACCUCACCUGUCCUCUCUCAUUAUCCUUCUCAUUCGUGUCCUUUUGUUUUCUGUUCUGUGCCUGAUUGUCAUCUAAUGUGUUCUCCCUGCAUGUUUUGAUGUUCCCCACUGUAUCCAGCUCAUCUCUGCCCUGUCUUGCCUUGUUGUGUAUUAUAAUACAGGUCAUUGAACUUCAGUCAGUGCUUCAGUCCCCACAAUCCAUUUAACCAAAACUUUACAUAAAGUUGUUGUUAUAACUUUGAACAUGUUUUAAGUAUUUAAUUAGUCUUUUAGAUUUUCCACACUAAAUACAAUGCUAUUUCAAUUGUAAUGGGCCAUGUUAAUUUAUCUAGUGAUUUUAAUCAAGUAUUUAUUGCCUUUUUCAGUUGUUCUGAGCAGUAUUUGUUAACUCUAGUUAAACUGGUCCAGUUCAGAGAGAAUCUACAGCUGGUGCCUUCACUGCUUGAGGUUCUUGGCUUCUCUGUAAGUCUGGAAGGACAAUUACCCAGCAAAACCUGCAGGUCUGUGGGGGGAGUCUUGUGUUUCUCUUCUGACAGACUCAACCUCAGUCUAAAACCUAAAGCCAUCUCUGUCAGAGGAACAAGGCUUCUCUUCAGACACAUCACAAACAUGCACACACUCAGACUGAGUGGUUAUAUGGUGGUGAGAAUAGCGCAGGCAUUGCAGUCUAUGAGGGUUCGAGCUCCCAUCGCUGUUAAUGAACUCACACUUGAUCCAAAUGAUAAACAGCUGUCAGAGAGGAAUCUGUCCAGGAUCGUGAGCAGUUUGGCCAUCCUUCUGAGACUCUGGACUGUCCAGUGUUUGAACUUGACUGAAUACAAGAUUCAGUCUGUUUCUGUGUCUGUCCUACUGUGUCAUCAGGGACCUGUGAUUCUCAGGUCUGACUAUAAGACAAAUUUUAAUAGUGUUUGACUUUGUAUUUAUCAUGGCAUAGAAAUAAAACAAUGAAUUCUGUAUGUUUAGACCA